GGCUAUAGCUCAGUGGUAGAGCAUCUGUUCUGAAUAUAGACAGUCCCAGGUUUGAUCUCUGGCAUCUCUA